UACGUAGGGAGCGAGCGUUGUCCGGAAUUACUGGGCGUAAAGGGCGCGUAGGCGGGAUUUUAAGUUAGGUGUGAAAACUCCGGGCUCAACUCGGAGAUGGCACUUAAAACUGGAAUACUUGAGGACAGGAGAGGAAAGUGGAAUUCCUAGUGUAGCGGUGAAAUGCGUAGAUAUUAGGAGGAACACCAGUGGCGAAGGCGACUUUCUGGACUGAACCUGACGCUGAGGCGCGAAAGCGUGGGGAGUGAACGGGAUUAGAUACCCCGGUAAUCCACGCUGUAAACGAUGGGUACUAGGUGUAGGAGGUAUCGACCCCUUCUGUGCCGGAGUUAACGCAAUAAGUACCCCGCCUGGGGAGUACGGCCGCAAGGUUGAA
rnacentral:rRNA from 1 species